GUGAGGAAUAUUGCGCAAUGGAGGCAACUCUGACGCAGCCAUGCCGCGUGCAGGAAGAAGGCGCUACGCGUUGUAAACUGCUUUUAACCGGGAAGAAACCCCAGGACGUGUCCUGGGUUGACGGUACCGGAGGAAUAAGCACCGGCUAACUUCGUGCCAGCAGCCGCGGUAAUACGAAGGGUGCAAGCGUUAUCCGGAUUCAUUGGGUUUAAAGGGUGCGUAGGCGGAGCGUUAAGUCAGUGGUGAAAUCCUGCAGCUUAACUGUAGACUUGCCAGUGAUACUGGCGCUCUUGAGUGCGCUUGAAGUGGGCGGAAUGUGCCGUGUAGCGGUGAAAUGCUUAGAUAUGGCACAGAACACCAAUUGCGAAGGCAGCUCACUAAGGCGAUACUGACGCUGAGGCACGAAAGCGUGGGGAUCGAACAGGAUUAGAUACCCUUGUAGUCC
rnacentral:rRNA from 1 species